UCCUCUCUCCAACCUUCGGGCUGGGUGUUGGGCCGCGUUGUGGUUCGUCCGCAACUGGUCUCAAAGACAAUGACGGCGUCCGUGGGACCCUCUUCGCAACGAGUCUUUCGAGGCACGCGGGGAGUUGCAAGGUCUCGUCGGGCCGGUCUAACCUUUUAUUUCUCA
rnacentral:misc_RNA from 4 species